CCUCGCAGAUUUUCCUCGCAGAUCCGACUCUCUCAUGUCUCCUAGCCCCAGACCUAGGCCUCCUUUCCCUGGAUAUUUGCUCCUGACAGUGGAGACGUCGUGGGAGCACGUCGCGCGCACUAGGUGGCGCUUCAGCCCCAGUUUCGGUCUCCACAGCGCCCCGAGCCGCGCUCCGAGCGUCCUCUGCCUCUCGUGCGCGUGGUCUCCGCCAGGCUAACGUCACUGGGGCUGCGACUUUCGAGGAGGGUGGGCUGACCAACAGGCAGAGGCAGGACAGGCCGCGGGUCCCCUCCUGGGUUUGUGAUCAGGCCCCUGAGUCUGUGCGCGAGGGACAGCUGCCUACCGUUGUUGAGAAAUGCUACAAAGAAUAUGCCCAGUCAACUGUUUUCCAGGUAUGGCCUGAAGGUUCCUAUGCUUAUCUCAUCAUAGAAGUAGAUGUCACCUGGUGUUUCCAGGACUCUUCAGCUUGGAAAAAGAGACUUGUCAGAGGGAUCCUUCUGGAUGCUUCCUCCUCAGAUACUUAGAGUUAGUCUCUGUCCCUCUUGAACUGGGGCCUGGUGACUUUGAGUGUGUUUAUGCGACAUCUCCAGGGAUGCAGUGCUGGUCUGGCUCCUGCUCUGGGUUUGCUCUGAGUAACUAUGACCACAGGCACACUUGGUAGCAUUUCAAGACCUCCAGAAGCCUCCAACCAUUCGCAAGAGCUCACACCGAAGACCCUCCUGAAGGGCGGCAUGAUGUCUUUCCUGUUCCAGAAGUUCCUGCACAGCACUGAUCAGCAUCUGUGAGAAUGGCCACAGCCAUUUGAGGACCCUGGUCACCUGGCAGCCCUUCUGGAGUGGUUGUGCCAACCAAGAGGCGAUGAUUUCCGCAUACCAGCCAGUUAGCAAGCAGCAGGGCUGGAAUCCAAACACAAGGCCCCUGGCCUCUAUGGACCGCUUCAAGAGUGGGGGGACAAAUGACCAUUGACUAACUGACUUUCACAGAUAUUGACCCCUCAUAGCACCCAGGACAGGAGCAGGAACCAGGUGUGGGGUGCAUGCUAGUCAUCACAACACUCGAGAGGUAGAGACCAAAGGACCAGGAGUUCAACAUCACCCUUGGCUAUAUAAAGAGUUCAAGGCCAGCCUGGGCUACAGGAGACCUUGUCUCAAACAAACAAAAUAAACAAACAAUAAGUGGGGUGGGGGCUGGAGAGAUGCCCGGCAGUUAAGAGCACUGGCUGCUCUUUCAGAGGACCUGGGUUUGAUUCCUAGCACCCACAUGACAGCUUGCAACUGUCUGCAAUUUUAAUUCCAAGGUCCCGAUAGGUACAAAUACAGUGAUGUACACAGCCAAAAUAUUCAUACACAUAAAGUAAAAGAAGUAUAAAUCUUAGACCACUCAGCCAUCCUGACACAUAAAAUAAGUAUAAAUCUAAAAAAAGCAUUAAAAAUAAAGAAUGGAUCCGAGCAGGCUUACCUAUUUCCAGGCACCGAGGCCUGUUCCUCAGCCUUCUUGGCUCCAGGUCCCCCUCAGUUCAAAGGCGCCUCACUUGGCCUUGGCCUUCACCUCCAAGUGGUCUCUGUUUGCUUUCUUGCCAGAUCUCCCUGUGUUGCUACUGGCUUUAUGUGUUUGAGUUUAGUCCCACUCAGCAAGGAUGCUGCCCCCCCCCCCGCUGUUUUUGACACAAGGUCUCACUGUGUACUUCUGACUGGCUUCAAACUCACAGAGAUCCGCCUGCCUCUGUUUCCCUAGUGCUGGGAUUAAAGGCACGUGCCACCUCACCCAGCCUAUUUGAAGUUGAUUAUUUCACUCCCUGCAGAAAGGGCCUUUGGAUGUAAACAUUUACUUAUGGGGGUUGGAAGAACCUGGGGACCACUACUAAGCCUGGCAUAAGCACAGUGUUCCUCCCCACCUUCCAGACGCUUUCUUCAUUGCCCUGAGGAGGAAGUGGUGGGCAGUGGGUCCCAGAGUGUAGACAUCGGCAGAGAACUUCCUGUGUGCAGUCUGAGAGUCCCAUGGGAGGGUGGACUCUGACAGCCACUCUACGAAGGAUCCUCACUGAGUGACUACCGUCAUGGCUCCCUAACCCUGACCCCUUGUUGCCUGACCCUGGCUGCCUCCAGCACAUCACAACACCUCAACUGUGAGGGGAUCCUUGGCUUUCCAUAGCAGGAGAGGCCUGUAGGGCAGUGGAGCAAAGUGUGCCCAACUCUCCCUCCUCCUAAAGAAAUUCACCAGAGGCAAACAAGAUGGUGAGGCAGCAGAGGUGCUCAUCUUU